UGAAACUGCAACGAGAUGGAUAGAACU
rnacentral:piRNA from 1 species